CAGGACAGCUCACAGUCUCCUGAGCGGGUGACUCAUGCCGUCAUGUUGGGUGUUGUUGGAGGCUUCCUGACCCCACGGCGUGGACAGAAGCAGCAGGGUGAAGAAGGUGGUCGGGUGAGCAAAGCGUGACAAAGAUCCUGAGCAGCUAUGUUUGCCAGACAUGUUACCGAGUGAGGAUUUAUCUGUGGAUCAGAGGGCGGAUCACAGCAACCAGAGCGAAGGUAAUGUGUCUUUGAAAUCGGCCCAGGAAAUCCUUUUGGUGUGUGACCCUGUUAGCAGAGGAAAUACCAUCCCAGCUGACCUCAUCAGCAAGCAGCCUCUGCCUGCUGCAGCCCUACACGCAUCAGAGAGGACUCAGCCUGACCUCCAGACACCCACAUGCCCACGAUGUGGCCUCACAGUUCCAGAACCCAGACUCCCACCGCUGUCCUCAAGCCAGCUGCAGAGCUCCAAGCUGUCGGUGCACAGCGGCGGCAGCAGAAGGAGCCGGAGCCGGAGCAGUGUGUCUGGAUCUCAUAGACCUGCUGCUACACCUGCUGGUAAGCAAGCAGACUGUCAGAGGGGCCUGAACCUUAAACUUGUUUCUGGACAGAGUUGAUUGCUUGCACCUUAGUUUGAUGUUUGCAUGGCGUCCAUGGUGAUUGACUUUUGGUGUUGGCCUCAAGUGGCCAGUUGAGGGACUGCAGUUUGUUAGCUUGCACACAGCCUACGUACUAACAGCUCUUUCAGGAGAUGAUCACACAGCGUGGUUGUUGAUGAGAGACACUUUGCUUGGGCUGCACAGCUUUCCUGUUGUACUGUGUGGAGCCCAGACUGUUUUCAACAGACAUCUCUGCAACAUCUAGCGAAAGAUCAGACCGCAAUGCUCAGAGAAAUACAAAAAAAAGGACAAGAGCUAGAUCUCAGUGAGGCCUGCAGAGGGGUGGUGAUGUGUGCUCGUCAUGUAGCCCCAGGAAACCAUGGCCAGGCCACCUGCACUGAAAUAAAUUUGGAGUGACAUUUACUUAAGAAAACUGU
rnacentral:lncRNA from 1 species